UACGUAGGGUGCGAGCGUUUGUCCGGAAUUACUGGGCGUAAAGAGCUCGUAGGUGGUUUGUCGCGUUGUUCGUGAAAACUCACAGCUUAACUGUGGGCGUGCGGGCGAUACGGGCAGACUGGAGUACUGCAGGGGAGACUGGAAUUCCUGGUGUAGCGGUGGAAUGCGCAGAUAUCAGGAAGAACACCCGUGGCUAAGGCGGCUCUCUAGUACGGUACUGACGCUGAGACGCGAAAAGCGUGGGGAGCGAACAGG
rnacentral:rRNA from 1 species